GAUGAACGCUGGCGGCGUGCUUAACACAUGCGAGUCGAACGGAAAGGCCCAAGCUUGCUUGGGUACUCGAGUGGCGAACGGGUGAGUAACACGUGGGUGAUCUGCCCUGCACUUCGGGAUAAGCCUGGGAAACUGGGUCUAAUACCGGAUAGGACCACAUUUUGGAUGGUGUGGUGGAAAGUUUUUCGGUGUGGGAUGAGCUCGCGGCCUAUCAGCUUGUUGGUGGGGUAAUGGCCUACCAAGGCGUCGACGGGUAGCCGGCCUGAGAGGGUGUACGGCCACAUUGGGACUGAGAUACGGCCCAGACUCCUACGGGAGGCAGCAGUGGGGAAUAUUGCACAAUGGGCGCAAGCCUGAUGCAGCGACGCCGCGUGGGGGAUGACGGCCUUCGGGUUGGAAACUCCUUUCGCUAGGGACGAAGCGUUAUGUGACGGUACCUGGAGAAGAAGCACCGGCUAACUACGUG
rnacentral:rRNA from 1 species